AUGGUUGCCAUGGGCGCGGACGAGGAGGAGCGGCCCGUGCACCAGGGCUGCAUGGCCGGCUUCCUCCACCUCUUCGACCGCCCGCACGUCCUCUCCGGCAAGCGCCGGCUCUGCCACCACCCCCGCCGCCUCCUCUCCUCCUCCUCAAGUGGGUCCGCGACGCCGUCGGAGAUGUCGAUGCCGCUGGAGAGGGCGACGCCGCUCCCGUCGUCGCCCGAGAUGACGCCGCCCGCGGCGCCGAGGCCGUCGCUCCAGCUCCCGCCGCUGGACCUCAAGGACAGGGGUGGCGCCGCCGCGUCCUGGAGGCUGCCGCGCCUCUCGCUGGACAGCCGCGCGGUGGUCGACGCCAGGGGGAAGCUCCGGCAGCGGGACAACAACAGAACGGCAGCGCCACCGUCCCCUGGCGUGGCGGGCUCGCCCAGCGUCGUCGCGCGGCUCAUGGGGCUCGACGCGCUGCCGCACGGCGCCGCGGACGAGGAGGACGGCCAGCACGCCGCUCGGGGUGGCGAGCUCAGGCGGUCGGCGUCCGAGCGGGUGCCGCGCGACCCGGCCCGCUUCCGGUUCGUCGACCCGUCUUUCUUCGAGAAGCCGGCGCUGCUUCCGCAAAGGCCGUCGUCCCCGACGGCAGAGGCGGCGCUGGCACAGCGGCAGUCGCCGGAUCCGGCCUUCCACAGAGCGGCAGCGCUGCAGAGGCGUAGCAGCCACUUCGACGCGCGGGAGGUGUUCCCUGAGCCGGCGAAGCGCGUCGACCCGAGCGCCGGGCCCGGCGAGAUCGCGCUCUGCGGCGAGAUCGACCGGCGCCUCCGCAAGCGUGGCAUCGCCGAGCCCUCCAGGGAUCUCGAGACGCUCAAGCAAAUCCUGGAAGCCCUCCAGCUCAAAGGCCUCCUCCGCCACAGCACUCCACCGCCGCCAUUGUCCGUGCGCAACCAUCCGCCUCCCAUCGUCGUCAUGCGCCCGUCCUCUCGGCCGCCGCAGCCUCCAACCUCUCCCACGAGGCGGUUACGCGUGCAAGUCGACAAUGCCCGCCGCCCGCGUUCUCCUGACCGAGCGGCGUCUCCGGCACGGAGCCCGGCCUCCCCGGCGCGACGCGGCCCGCAGUCCCCUCAGCGCCGCGUGUCUCCGGAGAAGCGCCACCAGCCCCUCAAAAAGCCGAACAACGCUGAUCUCCCAAGCAUCCGCCCCCGCAUUGCCCGCCACGCUGCUCACAAUCUAUCUCCCGACGACGACGCGUCGACCAUCUUCUCGGACGGCGGCAGCAGUAGCUCCGUCAGUGCCAGUGCCAGUGCCUCCUCCCGUUGGGACCUCGAGGUAAGCCUCAGCAGACAAGGUGGUAAAAUCUCUGCUCAGCGGACAUCGAUCGUGCAACGUUUUCUUACCAGUCUGUCCAUUUUUGCAUUGCAGCAGCGGCAGCGGGCACGUCUGGUGGACGACCCGAGAACGGACCGCGGCCUGCUGGAGCGCUGUGACAAGCUGCUGAGCAGCAUCGAGGCGUUCACCGGCGCCGGCGACGCGGCCGCCGACCAGCAGCCGAGCCCGGUGUCGGUGCUCGACGCGGCGACCUUCCUCGCCGACGAGGACUCGCCGUCGUCGUCGGGGUCGAAGCGGGGGAUGGGCCGGAGAGCCCCGGGCCCCCGGCCGGUCGCCUCUCUGUCCUUUCCCGAGGACGACGACGAGGUGGUCCCGGAAGCGUGGCUGGUUGGACCGGAGGCGAGUGACCCCGACUUCGCCUACGUGGCAGAAGUGGUCUGUUUGUCGGACCGGAUGAGGAGCCCGGAUGACGUGUACCGCACAGUGGAGAAGAGGCGCCGGCGUGGCGAGGACACGUGGCAGCACCGCAGGCUGCUCUGCGGCGCGGCGGCGGAGGCGCUGGACCGGUGGCGGUGCGCGCACCCGUCGGAGCCCGUCGCGUGGCUCCGCUGCGAGGAGCUCCUGCGCUACGUCUGGGCGGAGGUCCAGCGCGCCAUGGAGCCAGCCGGACCGGCGGCCGGCGACGAUCUGAACGACCAGACUAGCGGAGCCAUCCUGCGCGACCUGGCGGCAGACCGGCGGUGGUCGCCGAGCGCCGAGGCGGCGGACACCGUGCUGCAGAUCGAGCGGCUGCUGUUCAAGGACCUGGUGGCCGACGCCAUCUGCGAGCUGGCCGAGGCCGACCGCCUCCGCCUCCCGCGCCGGAAGCUGGUCUUCUGA
rnacentral:rRNA from 1 species